GCUGCAACUCGCCUGUAUGAAGUCGGAAUUGCUAGUAAUGGCAGGUCAGCAUACUGCCGUGAAUACGUUCCCGGGCCUUGUACACACCGCCCGUCACACCAUGAGAGUUGGGAAUACCCGAAGCCUGUGAGCUAACUUAUAGAGGCAGCAGUCGAAGGUAGAAUCAAUGAUUGGGGUGAAGUCGUAACAAGGUAAC
rnacentral:rRNA from 1 species